rnacentral:rRNA from 1 species
GACGAACGCUGGCGGCGUGCUUAACACAUGCCAGUCGAACGGAAAGGCCCUGCUUUUGUGGGGUGCUCGAGUGGCGAACGGGUGAGUAACACGUGAGUAACCUGCCCUUGACUUUGGGAUAACUUCAGGCAACUGGUGCUAAUACCGGAUAGGAGCUCCUGCUGCAUGGUGGGGGUUGGAAAGUUUCGGCGGUUGGGGAUGGACUCGCGGCUUAUUAGCUUGUUGGUGGGGUAGUGGCUUACCAAGGCUUUGACGGGUAGCCGGCCUGAGAGGGUGACCGGCCACAAUGGGACUGAGGUACGGCCCAGACUCCUACGGGAGGCAGCAGGGGGGAAUAUUGCACAAUGGGCGGAAGCCUGAUGCAGCAACGCCGCGUGCGGGAUGACGGCCUUCGGGUUGUAAACCGCUUUCGCCUGUGACGAAGCGUGAGUGACGGUAAUGGGUAAAGAAGCACCGGCUAACUACGUG